AAUAUAUAUUGUCCAAUCUAUUGAAGUACUAGCACACCAGCUCUAAUAAGCUGAUGUGGUUGAGUAGUUCAAUAGAUUGGACUAUAUAUAUU
rnacentral:pre_miRNA from 1 species